CUUUUCUUCUUUCUUUCCCUGGUUUUGAAAGCUCAUAAAAUCCAAGCUAAUCAGAGCCCAGGUUACAAGUAUCUCUUGAUGUUUUUAGUUCAUUGGAAGCCUUGCCAAAGUUUUUAUUUUUAAGUGUGGGGCUUAAAAUAUCCCCUCCUCAGCUCCGAGCCAGCCAGGGGAAGCCAAAAUAAAACACCAUCUUCUUUGGAACAUAUGGCAAGUCACUGCUGCCGGAAUCAGGGAGAAAUCAGAAGAGAAAGGAUGUUCUGGUACAAAAUAAGAAUGUAGGUUUAAUGCAUGGAAAUAUGCAAAGCUUCGUGCCACCAAGGGCUGUUUUCUGAGCGCGAAAAUGUUAACUACAGAGUUUACGAGAAGAAGAAAGGGGGCAAAGGCAUUCUUGAAAACUGACCCAGACCCCGUCCGAGACCCGCGCACAGGAAAGGCCCGAGCGAGGCUCCGGCAGCUGUGGGAUGCAGCUGAACCAUUCCACGCUGUCCUCAGCGAGAUGCUUCUGCGGGAGGAGCCCCUGCCUUGGCCUGCAUGGUUCUUAAAGCAGUUCCCUUUCUUUCUUCUGCCUUUCGGGUCCCCCGCUUCGUCCCUUCGCUAAAGCAUCCCACUGCUAUCACCAGGCACACACGGUUGCAAACUAAGGUCAUCUGCACUCAGGGGGCGCAGCUCACGGAGCUCAUGGUGCUUGAACUGUUUUUAAGGCUUAGUUUUCAGCAGCUUUUGACGUUCUCUGUAUUUUUUUCCCUCAGUCUUUUGGUUAUUUAACCUAAAACCAUUAUUAUCUUUCCGUGCUCUUAGCAUUCUGGGGGUUUCCAUUUCUCCCUUGUCUUUUCAGCAAAUGCUGUAUUUAUUAUUGUUGUUCUUAAAGAGCUGACAACGCAGAGUAGGACAUUUUAUGUAGUGUUACUGGAGGGCAACGUUUUAGAUAUUCAAAUUUAUUAUUGGAGUUCGAGUGUCACUAGAAAAAAAUGCAUACGCCAAAGGAGACUGUUGGUAGUGUGAUCCUAGAGGCAUCCGGUUAAUAUAUAAUGUAUAAGUCUGCGUAAUGGAUACUUUUUAUUAUUCAUAAAAUUUUCAAAUGACUCGCAGAUGUGCACCCUGCAGCUGUUCCCCCCUCACUAAUGGCCUAAGGCUCUGACUCAGAGAGGAGUUUCGUGCCAAAGGAUUCUGGCAGCGACUACAGUCCUUGUGAUAUUCCCAGGGAGGAAAUCAUCUAUUGUCAGCAGGGGUGAUGAUGACAGACCAAUAAAAGGCUGAGUGGGGAGGAGCCAGUGGAGACAGAAGACCGGACUGGGCAUGUUCAGAAGGCUGUUUUCGAGCUGCUUUUGAAAAAAAAAUGUAUUGUCUUCAAAAUUCUUUCCAGUGAUUUACCUGAGUCUGCUUCUAUCUACAAAGUCUGCUCUUCCCCCCAGGACAGAGGCCCAAGGGCACCUGGCCCCUGCCUCCUCUCCUCAGGGGCCUCUGCUGGCCUGUCCUCUCACCUGGACCUGAUCUGACCAGAACCCCUGGGGCGUCUCCGUGACAACCCUCAGUGCUGGGCAGGUGGCCCCUGCUCCCGAAGGGCCCCCACCACCUCUCACUAGCAUGGGCUGCUUUCUGCUGCCCCUCCCCAUUCCCGGGAGCUGGCCGGGGCCAGGGGCAUACAGAGCGCCCUCGGCUUCAGGCAUCUGAAAACACUUUAUUGGGGCGCUGGCUCUGGGCUGCGGCCAAGGGAUGCUGCGGUGUUAGUUCUUUUUUUUUUUUUUUUAAAGAUUUAUUUAUUUAUUUGAGAGAGAGAGAAUGAGAGAGAGCACAUGAGAGGGGGGAGGGUCAGAGGGAGAAGCAGACUCCCUGCCGAGCAGGGAGCCCGAUGCGGAACUCGAUCCAGGGACUCCAGGAUGAUGACCUGAGCCGAAGGCAGUCGCUUAACCGACUGAGCCACCCAGGCGCCCAUCUGCGGUGUUAGUUCUUAACACAAGGUGAUCAGGAGCUGGGAGCCCAUCCAGAGAGGGCAAGAGGGGGUUGCAGUUUCCAGAAGCCAAGGGGGCAGAUGAAUGCCGGAAGCGUGGCAGUGGGGCAAGGGACACAGCACCCAUGGGGACCUGGGCUAGAGCGCCACCUUACUUUCCUCCUACCCUCUGAAAUCUGGCAGAGCCUCCCAUUGGCCAGCCCACCUGGAAGCCGGAAGGAGGGAGCCCAGGGAGCAGCCCGCGCUCAGGCCCAGAGCAGGAGGGAGGAGGGUGAACAGACCUGCAGGCGCCGGCACCUCUGUCUUCCUUGGGGACCCAGGGCCAGCCUUCCUCCUUAAAAUUGUUGGAGUGCCUUGAAGAGUCUGGAAGGGACACCUCUUCCAAGGGAUAGUGGGCACCUCCAGGGACACUGAGAGUAUUUUCAUUUUUAUAUUUUUAUUUAUUUGCUUCUAUACUUGAGCUUCUAACAAUGUGUGUGUUGUUCGAUAAUAAAAUCUAAUACACCUGUUUGGAAACAUAAAGCAGUAGCACAGGGAAACACACGAUAGCAGCGGAGCCAUCCCCAGUCCGUCCUCCAGCUCUGACCAGGCCCCUGGGGUGCUGUGCUGAGACCCGGGGCUGGAUGCAGGCCUGACCGCUGACCAGCCCACAGUGCUCACUACGCUGGCUCGGGGUGCUCCUGCUGGGACAGGCAGUGUGAUUCCGACAGCCGGCUCCCGGGCUUAGUGCAGACUCCACAGCCCCUGCACCCCAAACUGCCCUCACUCCACACGCCAACUGCACUUUGGGGGUUCCAGGCCUCUCGUGCUUCUGACCAACUGGCUACAAAUUCGAGAAUUCCUCCCACCCCCUCCAGUUCAACCAUUUGCCAGAACGCCUCACAGAACUUAGGAAAGCAUUAUAAUGGUGGUUAUAGCUUUACCGUAAAGGAUACCAUAAAGUUCAGACGGGCCUCGAAUGCAGAGCUUCACGCCAUCCUCCCGGCACAUCCCUGGGUUCCCAGCCAGGAAGGGGGCGCGUGGGAUCGCUGGUCACGUGACGGAGCUCAGUCUCCAGCCCCUCUCCUCUCUGGAGAUCAGAAGCUCCACCUGGUAUUACUUGGCUCAAAGUCCCAACCCUCUAGCCCAUGUUGGUCUCUCUGGCAGGAAGGGCUCACAUCCUGAAGCUUUGUAUGGGUCGUUGGUCACCUCCAUAGCAUAAACUCAGGUGUGGUCUAAUGGUUUGGAGGCCCUCUCCCAGGAACCAGCGACAGAGACCUGCCAAAUUCUUCCUGUUACGUGACACUGGCUUCCCAGUGGCACAGCCAGGGACCAGAGGGGCCACGUGAAAGCCACAGCCCCGUGGGGAAACCAGAGGACAUGGACGCGUCUGGCAGUGCUCCCCUGACGGGCACCCAUGGGUACCCAGAGCUCAAAAAUUGGUUGGGAGAAAACCCAGACAUCUAAGAUUCUUCGGGGGAGAUGGUAUUGGCUGUAAAUUCUGACGGAGAUGCGGGCAUUCUCAAUGCAACAACAAAACCAAGUAGGGUCUGCUCAGAGGUGCAGGUGACCAGAAAGUCUCACAUUUAUUCUUUAUGACUCCAUAUGUUUGGAGUAAACUCUUUUAACUUAUUUAUUUUUUUAAACUUUUUUUUUUUAAGAUUUUAUUUAUUUAUUUGACAGAGACACAGCGAGAGAGGAAACACAAGCAGGGGGAGUGGGAGAGGGAGAAGCAGUCUUCCCGUGGAGCAGGGAGCCCGAUGUGGGGUUCGAUCCCAGGACCCCGGGAUCAUGACCUGAGACGAAGGCAGACGCUUAAUGACUGAGCCACCCAGGCGCCCCAUCUUUUAACUUAUUUAAAUAUUUAUAGACUGAGAUAAAUCUAUGUUCUUAAUCUGUUUGAAUAUCUUUGUCACAGCUGACAUCGUGUAGUUGGUGACAAGCUGUGUGUGUAACUAAGCAGAUCAUUUCGUGGGACAGUUUGCUUCUGUUCUGAGGAGCAGGGUGUUGCGGUGCAGGGAGACCCACUCCUGGUUCCUGUCUUCCCCCAUGAACUCGGGCGAGGUCUUUCACUUCACAGUGCCUCUACUUCCCCAUAAAAUGGAACUGAUAGCACUUUCUCCUACUACCCAUAAUUUUACAGCUGAAUGAUGGGAAUGCCAGAACGUUCAGCACUGUCUUCAGAGUACCUUUGCCUCUUGGAGAAGGACGCCACGUAAAUACAUUCUGAGUUAUUGCUCUGUGGCCCUCAAAUGAUUGUAUCACCCCUGGAGGUAUCGUUGACAAGGAGACAGAAAAUAGAUUAGGACCCAGGGGAAGAACGGCUAUGACACACGAAAAUAAAACUUCCAAAGCAUCGGAUGCUACGUGGAGGAUUUCAUCUUAGUAUGACAAACUGGAAGCCCAUCUGGGUAAAUCAGUGGUGUAGGAAAUAAAUUUGCAAUAUAUCAAAAAUAUGUUGCCCAGUAGCUGACAAUUUAUUUCUGGAGCUCCAUAUGUGUCACAUUUCCAGGCUCAUAAAUGAUAAAUAAUAAAUUUUUAUUUAUAAAUCACUGGCUCCCAGAGGCAGAUGAGCAGACUGAAUGAAAAGACGCUGCCGGAGAAGCUGGUUAAGUUCCACCAGCGGACUCAGGUCGACAUGUGGUGGUUUUACCCAGUUUGGGGAAUUGCUGAGCCAAUGAGAAAAGCCGAUACCUUUAGGAAACUGUGCCUGUCAUUAACUCGAAGUCGAGGUUGUGAAAAGUGCAUCUGAGGUGCACGCAAUGGCAGAGCCCUGAGAUGCGGGUUGUUAAGGUUUGCACGUUAGUAAAGAUUGACAAACGCGUCCCUACUUGGAAGAUGCGCAUUUGAGAAGACAUCGCAGCUGGCUUCCUACAGACCCCAGAGCCUUCUGUAGUAGUAUAAAGAGAAUUAUCUGGUGUGAAACAUCCUGAAAGGAAAAGAAUGCCUCCUCAUGAUGUCAGGGGCACCCCUCAAAGACCUGGGUGAUUGCUGGUCCGCACAGACCGUGGCGCUGGCUGAGGAGGGGAGCGCACGCGGGUGUUCAGCUGGGCUUCAGCAGCCAGGAUCCAGAACUGCUUGGAGAAAUGACAGUCGUGAAGAAAGGCAAUAUGGAUGUUGCUGAAAGUGGGGAGGAAAAUUAAUCUCUACCCCCAACAUGGGGCUCAAACCCAUGACCUGAGAUCAAGAAUGGCACGCUCUUCCGACCGAGGCUGCCAGGCCCCACGACUCUAUUCCUUGCUGGCUUUAAUGAAACAAGCUGCCAGAUCAUGAAUUCCUCAUAACGAGGUCCAUGUGGCAAGAAAGUGAAGGUGACCUCCAGCCAAAAGCCGGCAGGGAGCUGAGACCCUCAGUCCAUCUGCCCACAAGGAAAUGAACCCUGACAACAACCAUAUGAGCUUGGAAAUGGAUCCAUCCCCAGCAGAGCCUUCCGAUGAGCCCCCAGUCCUGGCUGGCACCCGUGAGACCCUGAAGCAGAGGACCCAGUCAAGCCAUGCCUGGAUUCCCGACGAGCAGAAAUUGUGGUAAUAAACGUGUGUUAAAUGUGUGUUGUUUGUUUGAGAUAAUUUGUUACAAAGCAAUAGAUUACCAAUACAUUGGGUCUUAGAAACAUUCAUUCA